CCUGUGGCGGGAGGAUUCAGUUGAGCGGUUCGAAGGAGAGUGCCGGUACUGUCAGAGUGGUACCCGUCAAGGGCCAGCUGGCGCUCCGAUUCUGUUCCACCAACGCAUUUUCUUUCCCGUCCGAAGGACGCCGCAACCGGUUGGCGGAACGGCCUUGAGUGCGGAUGCCGGCAGUUGGCCGGUGGUGUCCCCGUCAGGGGCCCGCCGGUUGUUAGCCUUUUCGCACGGGCCGGACCCCGACCGUGGUCGAAGGGGCCCUUCUUGGGCCUCGACGCCUCCUCCGUAAAACGAUCGCGAGCGGGUGCGGCAGGUGAGGCUCUGUGAACGCGGGCGCACGGACCGACUCCGUGGCCCGACGGUCCUCUGUCCCCGCUGGCUGUGCUCGUCUCGUUGGAGUGCUGGCGGUUGGCGGCGAGUAGGUCGGUCACCCACCCGACCCGUCUUGAAACACGGACCAAGGAGUCUAACAUGUGUGCGAGUCAAUGGGACUCGAUAAAGCCCAAAGGCGCAAUGAAAGCAAAGGUCUACCAAGGCCGAGUUGGGAUCCUCCCUCCUCCGCGGGGGAGGCGCACCAACGGCCCGUCCCGUCCGACUUGUUCGGUGUGGCGGAGCUUGAGCACACACGUUGGAACCCGAAAGAUGGUGAACUAUGCCCGGGCAGGACGAGGCCAGAGGAAACUCUGGUGGAGGUCCGCAGCGGUUCUGACGUGCAAUCGAUCGU
rnacentral:rRNA from 1 species